rnacentral:tRNA from 1 species
GGGGAUGUGGCGCAAUUGGUCAGCGUACCACCCUGUCACGGUGGAAGUUGCGGGUUCGAGUCCCGUCAUCCUCG